rnacentral:rRNA from 1 species
ACUGAAGGCAGCAGUAGGGAAUAUUGCACAAUGGGGGAAACCCUGAUGCAGCGACGCCGCGUGAGUGAAGAAGUAUUUCGGUAUGUAAAGCUCUAUCAGCAGGGAAGAAAACAAUGACGGUACCUGACUAAGAAGCCCCGGCUAACUACGUGCCAGCAGCCGCGGUAAUACGUAGGGGGCAAGCGUUAUCCGGAUUUAUUGGGUGUAAAGGGAGCGUAGACGGUGAGGCAAGUCUGAAGUGAAAGCCCGGGGCUCAACCCCGGGACUGCUUUGGAAACUGUCUGACUAGAGUGCAGGAGAGGUAAGUGGAAUUCCUAGUGUAGCGGUGAAAUGCGUAGAUAUUAGGAGGAACACCAGUGGCGAAGGCGGCUUACUGGACUGUAACUGACGUUGAGGCUCGAAAGCGUGGGGAGCAAACAGGAUUAGAUACCCUGGUA